AUAAAUUAAAAAGGGCUUGAAGGCUGAAGCUUUAACACUAAUGCCACAGGAGGACAAGUCAGUGCAAGAUCAAGCAGUUGUGGAAGUGAAAUCAAAGUGAUGUCAGACCGAUUAAGAAUAAACCACAUCAGAAGUGCAACUGGUGGCAAAUUUACCAAGGAAAACAUCUGCCAGAGAGCAGAGGUAGAACACUUAACAAAACCUUCAUUAUCUGUUGUUCUGCAAAGCAGAAGACUGAAUGCUGGUCUCCUGAAGUUUCUGGCAAAACUAGCUUUUUCAAUGGCUCAGAAAAAGGAUAUCCUGAACUAAUUUAUACUCUUCAUUUGAAACAUUGAUGGCUGGUAUUGAGACUAAAGCAAGGAAGCUGGGAAAACUUGGGGGCUACUGGUGUCUUUGAUAUAUUUCUAGCAAUGCCUUUAAUGAGAAUUUUAAUUCUUUGUGAAUUUGAAAAUAGAAGUGAUAAACCAAGUAAGUAUAAUGAAAACUUGAUAUAAAAAUGAAAAAUUUAAUUCAGA
rnacentral:lncRNA from 1 species